CCUUGAACAAGAUGAUUGCCCCCAUCUGUCACUUAGAGGCAGAAAGUGUGAGUGGGUGACUGCCUGGCAGCUGGCUCAGGACUCGGAUUGUGUUUCCUGCUCUGCCCAGAUUCCCUGCGUGUGCUUGGACAAGUCAGAUAAAAGUUGGAAGCUUCCCCAAACUUGGGCCUAAAAUGCUGAUGAGCAACCGCAAGAGGAUGAGGCUUUUGCAAGAUCUUACCACUAUUGCUUACCUCUGGACCAGGCAGGAAAGUGCAAGAAAGGGACUUCCUUAAGGAUUUUCUGUGCAUCUGCUUUCAGCUUUGUUGAGGGUGCCUUCAAGAUCCUCCGUGACCUUCUGCAGUGCUGCUGCUUUUCAUCUUGGCUGUUGUCAUUCCAGCCUCGCUGACACGUGUUAAUGCAGAGGCCUGGGCUGUGCACGCACUGGAAUCCUUCCACUGGCACAAAGAGGAGC